ensembl:lncRNA
GCGCAGCGCUGGGCUCCGGGCGCAGGGUGCCCCCGAGGCCCGCCGGAGAGCCACACUGUCGGGCUCUGCUACCAACCUGGCCUCACUGACAGCCGCCCUGGCCAAGGCUGACAGGAGCCACAAGAUCGCGGAGAACCGGAAGUCCUGGGCCAGCUGAGCGCGGGUGCCUGGCCUCUGCCUUCCGUCCUUGGCUGCCGGCCUCCUGCCUGGUGGCUGUGGAAGGACAGCAGCUCAGCGACGUCUCGGGACCCAGGCCCAGCCCUGGCUCCCCUGGUGUUCCCGUCGCCUCUGUGCCUGCGGUGCUGGCUGCGCUGGGAGGGAGCAGCACAUGUGUGAGUCUGGGGGAGGGCAGUUUGGAUGCGGAAGGGGACAGAUCCUGGCCUAGGCCUGCUGGGCCACCACAGCCCCCAGCUCAGGAGGGAAGCUGGGCGCCCUCAGAGCCCGUUUCUAGUUCCUCCACUUCCACCCCGAACUUGCCCGAAAAGCUUUCGUGGCAGAAUCCCUGGUUCUCGGGUCUGAAGCCAGUGGCAGGAAGUGGUGCCAGGCCCUGACUCUGGGUGGGACAGCCCCGCAGUGGUUCCUGGGAACACAGCCGCAGGUCCCCCACAGUGUGGCCCAGUGCCCAGCUGGUAGCCGAAUCUACUUGGUGUCACUAAUGCGUAUGUGUUACUGUACCCUGGCAGAGCUCUGCAGACCACCUUUCAACCGAAUAGGACCAGGGCUGGGGGGACCGGGUCUUCCUGUUUCCUUGGCAACAUAGCCAGACACCAGGGCUCUGGGCCGGGGGACCUGCCGGGGAGGAUCCUAGCACCAUCCUGUGGGGACAGUGUGGCCCUGAGGGGAGCCCUAGCUGGAGGCAGCAUCAGUUUAGCUUCCUGCCUGUCUUCAGCUGGCACUUGGGGGACAGCUGCCCGGUGUGUCACCAAAUGAGUGCUGUCAGCUUCGUGGGGCUUUCUGCUUGCUCCACCCCAUGCAGCACAGGCCUGGGUAGUUAGAUUUUGUCAUGCGCCACCUGUCCCUUGCGUAUCGUCUGGCCCUGUGGUCUGGGAAGGAGUCAGCACCCCCCAGGACUCCCUGGAGGAAGGGCAGGCCCUGUGUGCUGUGCAGAGGGGAUGUCGUGGAGGCGUGAGACCGUGGGGUGUCACUCACGUGCAGAGUCAUGGGCUUGCCGGAUCCAGGAUCCGGCUGCCCAGGAUGUGGUGUGAGUCACCAGGCGGAGCGGGGGAUGCCGUGCUCUGUGGUCCAUCAGGGUGACUUCCGGUGGAGCAGGAGCUGGAGGAGUGACUGCCCUGAUGGCUGCUUGUAGUGGAGCUGGCAGGUGGCAUGGGGUCUUGAGCUGCCUGGCUGUGCCCUGCUGGCAUCGCAGUCUGAUGGGCGCAGCGACCUCCUCUGCUCCUCCAGACCUGGGCCCGGCCCCCGCCGAGCCCUUGUCCUGCUGCCCCAGGCAGAUGGCGUGGAACCACUGGCCACCUGUUUUGCUCUCCUGGGCUGGGUGCAGCUCGCUCAGCACCCACAUGUUCCUGGGCAGCUUCUCAGGAAUCACGGUGCCUUCCUGGUGGCUGCAGACCCUGAUGGUGUUGGGAGUCUGGGCACAGCUUCUUUAUGUGCAGAUUUUGUAAACAGCAUGAGUUCACAUGAAAGAAGUGGCUUUGAUUCGGGAAUUAUAGUGAUUUGGUACACUUAGGUGGGAGGUAAAAAAUCCAAAGACUGCAAUGAAUUGUAAAGAUGUCAGUGGUUUGCAUUGUACAAUGAACUAAACCUCUGUAAUUUUGUACCAUAUACGCCUUUCCAGCAAAGGACCAGCAGCUUCUAAAUAAAACCAGAUGAUUUCUCGCCUC